rnacentral:lncRNA from 1 species
AAGGUAUAGGUUAAAUUUUUUUCUUUUUCCUUUGAUAUAGGUUAGCAUGUUUUUUUGUAGUAGAAAUUUGAGGUAAUUUUUUUUUUCUGAGUUGUGUUCAUUUUAGGUCUGUAUGUUUGUAAAUAUUUAGCUCAUAGGUAGUGUAAAUAACCAUAUUGUUUCAGUUUGUAAAUAUUUGCUUCUAGUUUGUAAAUAUUUAGUUUUUGAUGCUUGUAUAAUUUGUUUUAGGUUGUAGACUAGACUUUGUUUUUUUUAGAACUUAAGGUUGCGUAUAAAAAUGUG